ensembl:lncRNA
AGGAGUUCAGGGAGCAUUUGGGCCGCGCUCUCAUAUAGGUUGUCUGGUUUUUGAAUAGUUCUGUAUGGAAUCAAAAUCUGGACUUGAUGAUCCUUAAGGAAAGAAAAAACUAUUCUCGGUCACAAGAUGUCCUCUUUUCCCUUUCUGCUCAUCUGCAGUGUGUGCUCCCUAACUACCUUGCCUUCAGCAUUAGGUGCUCCCUAAUUCCCAAAGUGAAAAUGUUUAACAGCUUAAUCAGAAUUGUCACAUUACACAGAGCCUUGUAUGCAUAUAUGACACCUAUUGACUUUCACUGAUACUUGCUGAAUGGUUGUGGAGAGCAAACUAUAGAUACGAGUAUAGUGAGGCAGUGUGGGUGAUGCAUUUCAACACUGGCAACAGUGAUGUGAAAGACAAGCUACAUUCUGGAUGACCAUGCAUAGCUGUAACACCACGAAAUGAAGAGCAUCUCAGUCAGCUCACCUGCAUGAGUCAGCACAUUAUAACCAGUGAAUUGUGUAUGGAGUUGAAUGUUGGCUUCAGUGUGUUCGAAACAAUGGUGGCAACAUUGGAAUAUUGCAAAGUUUGCACCAGGUGGGUCCUACAAAUGCACACACAGCACACAGGAACAGAAAGAACAUUGUAUGCAAGUUUGUCAAGAUCUAUUGAACUGAUAUGAAGCUGAAGUUGACACUUUCCUGGGUUGCAUCAUGACCGGUGAUGAGACACGGUGUGACCGCUACAAGCUGGAGUCAAAAUGGCAGUUCGUGGAGUGGCUACAUGUGAAUUGAAGAAAAAGCUCAAGAUACAGCUCACAACAGGUAAGGUGAUGUGCACUCUUUUGGGAUAGGAAAGGGGCGAUCCUUCUGGAUUUCCUGGAACCCAGAAAAACCAUCAUCUCUGACUGCUACAUAGUGACUCUGACUAAAGCUGAAAGCUCAAACUCCCGGAGUGAGGUCACAGAAAAAGACAGCCUUUCUCUUGAAACAUGAUAAUACCAGGCCCCAUACCAGUUUGAAGAUGAUGGAGCAUAUUACCAAUCUUGGAUGAACUGUCCUACUAUGCUCAUCAUAUAGUCUGGAUUUAGUGCCUUCUGACUUCCAUCUGUUUGAGCGGAUGAUAUAUUGUCUGCACGGACUACAUUUUCCUAGCAAUGAUGAUGCCAUACCAGCUGUAAAACAGUAGGUUACUUCCACUGGUGCAGAUUUUUACAAGUGUGUUAUGCAUGCUCUUGAUCAUUACUGGAAAAAAUUUAUAGCUAAUGCCAUAGCUAAUGGACUAAUGAUGACUGUUGAAAAGUAGUGUUUUCUAUCUGAGAAUUUCUCAAUCAAAUAGUGUUACUGAAUUAUUUCUUGUACUGUCUGUGGAAAUAAAUAGGAGGUAU